AAAUAUAUAUAUAUAUGUUUUAUGACUUACUAUCUAUCUCUGUACUUAUCUGUCUGCCUACCUACAUUUAUUGGUAUAUGAUAAUCACGGGAGAGCAAGCGCUGAGAUGGUGC
rnacentral:ribozyme from 1 species